rnacentral:rRNA from 1 species
UACAGAGGUCCCAAGCGUUGUUCGGAUUCACUGGGCGUAAAGGGUGCGUAGGUGGUCGGGUAAGUCUGAUGUGAAAUCUCCGAGCUUAACUCGGAAAUGGCAUUGGAUACUAUUCGGCUAGAGGGUUUGAGGGGGGACUGGAAUACUUGGUGUAGCAGUGAAAUGCGCAGAUAUCAGGAGGAACACCAAUGGCGAAGGCAGCUCGCUGGGACGGUACUGACGCUGAGGCGCGAAAGCGUGGGGAGCAAACAGG